AGAACUUAGCAGAGAUGCUUUGGUGCCUUCGGGAACUCUGAGACAGGUGCUGCAUGGCUGUCGUCAGCUCGUGUUGUGAAAUGUUGGGUUAAGUCCCGCAACGAGCGCAACCCUUAUCUUUGUUGCCAGCGGCUCGGCCGGGAACUCAAAGGAGACUGCCGGUGAUAAACCGGAGGAAGGUGGGGAUGACGUCAAGUCAUCAUGGCCCUUACGGCCAGGGCUACACACGUGCUACAAUGGCGCAUACAAAGAGAAGCGACCUCGCGAGAGCAAGCGGACCUCAUAAAGUGCGUCGUAGUCCGGAUUGGAGUCUGCAACUCGACUCCAUGAAGUCGGAAUCGCUAGUAAUCGUAGAUCAGAAUGCUACGGUGAAUACGUUCCCGGGCCUUGUACACACCGCCCGUCACACCAUGGGAGUGGGUUGCAAAAGAAGUAGGUAGCUUAACCUUCGGGAGGGCGCUUACCACUUUGUGAUUCAUGACUGGGGUGAAGUCGUAACAAGGUAAGCGUAGAUGA
rnacentral:rRNA from 1 species